rnacentral:rRNA from 1 species
UACGGGGGGGCAAGCGUUGUUCGGAAUUACUGGGCGUAAAGGGCUCGUAGGUGGCCAACUAAGUCAGACGUGAAAUCCCUCGGCUUAACCGGGGAACUGCGUCUGAUACUGGAUGGCUUGAGUUCGGGAGAGGGAUGCGGAAUUCCAGGUGUAGCGGUGAAAUGCGUAGAUAUCUGGAGGAACACCGGUGGCGAAGGCGGCAUCCUGGACCGACACUGACACUGAGGAGCGAAAGCCAGGGAGCAAAGCGGG